GUAUUUUGAGCUGAAACUUCACAGACGCAUUCUGGAGACUUAUAUUACAUCUUGUAAAAAGGGCAUUAUGUUUAAGUUUUAAUGCUUAAAAAUAUUGUCAUUUUGUAAAUUUAAUAGGUGAGCAACCUCUUUUUAUGAAUUCUCCAUCAUCAUUUACCAUUCACUUCAUAAUCUGUUGCUUUGUGUUUCUACAUGACAUGCUUAUAUUAAGCAAUAUCCACAUAUAAAAUUGUGCGCAGCCCACACAGUUUAGUUUUUCUUGUAAUCAACCCUCAAACAUAUUUCCCUGUGCUCUACUUGUUGUGUAAAUGUCCGAGGUGUGUUUUAGUGCUCAACAUGCGCCCACCUGCUCUGAUUCUCUGUAUUACUCAACCUCUGUUCCUGGGCCGUAGAGCAGAUGCAUUAAUGAUAGGGUGUGCUGGGGUCAGUAGAGAUGUUAUGAUCGUAGCUGACCAUUCUGUUCUCUGACCUUCAGCGUGUAAUGGGUCAGAACUGCACAUCUGUGCCGGCCAGGGUCGCAGCGUGUUUGUCACGCCUUUGUCACGCUAACAUGUUAGACUGUAGUUAUAUUCAUGGGUUAUGUAAUCAAAGGUUGAGUCAGAGCUCUUGUUGAAAAGAUUUAAAAUCCACCAAGUAUAAAAUGUACCCGAAAUGCAUCCCACUGGAGUGGUUCGUUUUCCGUCUUUCCAAGAAUGUUUCCCUCAGGCCACUGCAUAAACAUUCAGUGACUGCAAACCGAAAACUAUUAGUCAUUACUAUUAGUGUAAUUUCCAUGUCAUUUCCACCUGUAUACACAUUGUUUAGUGACAGCUUGUCCCAAUUACAUCUCAUUAGUCAUCAGGAAGAGUGUCUGGAGAGGCUGCAGGUUAGUGGAUGUCACAACUUUGGAAUGAAGUUCAGUUGGGAAUGAUCCCUGACACCAAAUCAGCUGCAGGGCUUGGACAAGAAAACAAGACUCAACAUCAUACUGACAUGUCCUGCUAAGUCAAGCUGUCUCAGGUCCAGGUAUGUUGUGAUGAUGGUCCCUCAGAGAAAUAGCAUGCCCCUGACACCCUUAUGAAGG